rnacentral:rRNA from 1 species
AUGCCUUCAGCAGCUUCCCGACUCGUGCGGAUCGGCCGUGCCGCUCGCUCAGCUGCGGCGACCACAUCUCGCUUCGCCCAAUUCGUUGAAGCAGCGACCCUCUCCACGAAGGCGGUGGCGACCAAACCUCACGCUAUCUUAGGUUCAGAUCGUGCCGCCUCCGUAGAUCUGCGUAUGAACCAAUCCACUGUCCAUGCUCCUCCACGCGCCAUGGCACCUGCCUCCCUGACACUCAGUCACCCAGAAGAACAAAGGCAGGAAGGUAAGGUGAAGUUUGUGGUAGAGGAGAAAGACCUUGAGUCAGAAGCAGCCCUUUGGGCCUUGUAUGAGCGCUGGUGCAAAGAUUUCAACCAAAAGCGUGAUCAUGAUGAGAUGGUUCACUGGUUCAACACAUUCAAGGAGACUGUCCUGCUUGUCCACCGUCGGAACAAUGCUAAUCUGCCCUACAAAUUGGGAAUAAACAAAUUCGCGGAUGGGAAGCUAAGGAAGCUCUGUUGCUGUCAUGAUCCUAUUCUUAAAAAGAUUGAUGAGGAGUUUGGCGACAAACCAGGUGAAUUUAUUCUAGGUGAUGGUGACAAACUUCUCAAGCGAGUCUUCGCUGAUUAUAAGGUGGUUCAUGGCAGACUGUAUGUUCAUUUACCAAAGGGAGUUGAUGUGGAAACCAUCACCACCAAUCCUGAAUGGGUCGAGCUGGAAGCGACCACCAACCCUCCAUACCGAUACCCUACUUACAUCUAG